GACCGCGGCGUCCUCACAGCUGCCAGACUCCUAGGACACACACACUCGUUUUUGCGUGCCCCACCGCAACUAUCUUCUUCCCAAGACCCUCCAGAGCGCUCACCCCCAACCCCAGCGGGCCUUACCUGGUCAGAGUCAGAAAAAGACGUGGCAUAGAAAAGACCUGAAUCUGAGAUCCUACCUGCCUGCUAAUUAUUGGAUGUCUGAUUUCGGAAGAAGUGAGCUUAUAUGGAUAUUAAAGCAAAGGAUGAUUUCAGAAGGUUGGGAGUCUAAGGACAUUAAGAUGCAAAGAUUAAGACAAGAAGGAGAAAGAGGAAGAGAAGAAGAGAAAAGGAG